GAUGAACGCUGGCGGCGUGCUUACACAUGCAAGUCGAGCGAAGCAGUUUAAAUGAGACUUCGGUGGAUUUUAAACUGACUGAGCGGCGGACGGGUGAGUAACGCGUGGAUAACCUGCCUCACACAGGGGGAUAACAGUUAGAAAUGACUGCUAAUACCGCAUAAGCGCACAGUACCGCAUGGUACAGUGUGAAAAACUCCGGUGGUGUGAGAUGGAUCCGCGUCUGAUUAGGUGGUUGGUGGGGUAACGGCCCACCAAGCCGACGAUCAGUAGCCGACCUGAGAGGGUGACCGGCCACAUUGGGACUGAGACACGGCCCAAACUCCUACGGGAGGCAGCAGUGGGGAAUAUUGCACAAUGGGCGAAAGCCUGAUGCAGCGACGCCGCGUGAGUGAAGAAGUAUCUCGGUAUGUAAAGCUCUAUCAGCAGGGAAGAAAAUGACGGUACCUGACUAAGAAGCCCCGGCUAACUACGUGCCAGCAGCCGCGGUAAUACGUAGGGGGCAAGCGUUAUCCGGAUUUACUGGGUGUAAAGGGAGCGCAGACGGCGAUGCAAGUCUGGAGUGAAAGCCCGGGGCUCAACCCCGGGACUGCUUUGGAAACUGUAUGGCUAGAGUGCUGGAGAGGCAAGCGGAAUUCCUAGUGUAGCGGUGAAAUGCGUAGAUAUUAGGAAGAACACCAGUGGCGAAGGCGGCUUGCUGGACAGUAACUGACGUUCAGGCUCGA
rnacentral:rRNA from 1 species